GACGAACGCUGGCGGCGUGCUUAACACAUGCAAGUCGAACGGUAAGGCUCCAGCUUGCUGGGGUACACGAGUGGCGAACGGGUGAGUAACACGUGGGUGGCCUGCCCUGCACUUCGGGAUAAGCCUGGGAAACUGGGUCUAAUACCGGAUAGGACCGCACCGUGAGGGUGUGGUGGAAAGUUUUUUCGGUGUGGGAUGGGCCCGCGGCCUAUCAGCUUGUUGGUGGGGUAAUGGCCUACCAAGGCGGCGACGGGUAGCCGGCCUGAGAGGGUGGACGGCCACAUUGGGACUGAGACACGGCCCAGACUCCUACGGGAGGCAGCAGUGGGGAAUAUUGCACAAUGGGCGGAAGCCUGAUGCAGCGACGCCGCGUGGGGGAUGACGGCCUUCGGGUUGUAAACUCCUUUCACCAUCGACGAAGGGUUUCUGACGGUAGAUGGAGAAGAAGCACCGGCUAACUACGUG
rnacentral:rRNA from 1 species